AUGGGACGGAAGAAGGAUUCUAAAUAUAUGAGAUUCAGAUAUACAGAGAAUCCUAACACCGACAGUGGCAACAAAGGCAAGGAACAAUGUGCUUUGGGGAAAACACAAAAGCAAAGUGGGGCAAAACAAAAAGCUCAUACCAUCACCACUGCACCAUCUCAUGCUAAUUGCCCCCCAACUUGCACUACACUCUGUUGCCGAGCUCUGCCAGCUACGCGCAAGCGAAAACUUCUUUCAUCUCCAGCUAAACCAGAUGAUCAAGUGAUACAUCUUCACCUUGGACUGGAGGAUGGAUGGCUUCGACUAAUUUUGAUUUGA
rnacentral:rRNA from 1 species